CUCUUAUAAGAGUGUUCCGGUUCUCCCGACCGAAAGGCCGGGAGCUAAGAGGGAAGCCGGUGAAGUGACAUUCACCAAUGCCGGCGCUGCCCCCGCAACUGUAAACAGCGAGUUGCUGUCACCUGAGAUAUUCAGGAGAAGGUCACUGAGGCGCAGUCCUCGGGAAGGCCAGAUAGCGGCACUGACCUGUGAGCCAGGAGACCUGCCGAAACAUGAUGAACGUC
rnacentral:ncRNA from 2 species